GAUGAACGCUGGCGGCGUGCCUAAUACAUGCAAGUCGAGCGAACAGACGAGGAGCUUGCUCCUCUGACGUUAGCGGCGGACGGGUGAGUAACACGUGGAUAACCUACCUAUAAGACUGGGAUAACUUCGGGAAACCGGAGCUAAUACCGGAUAAUAUAUUGAACCGCAUGGUUCAAUAGUGAAAGACGGUUUUGCUGUCACUUAUAGAUGGAUCCGCGCCGCAUUAGCUAGUUGGUAAGGUAACGGCUUACCAAGGCAACGAUGCGUAGCCGACCUGAGAGGGUGAUCAGCCACACUGGAACUGAGACACGGUCCAGACUCCUACGGGAGGCAGCAGUAGGGAAUCUUCCGCAAUGGGCGAAAGCCUGACGGAGCAACGCCGCGUGAGUGAUGAAGGUCUUCGGAUCGUAAAGCUCUGUUAUUAGGGAAGAACAAAUGUGUAAGUAACUAUGCACGUCUUGACGGUACCUAAACAGAAAGCAACGGCUAACUUCGUG
rnacentral:rRNA from 1 species